CCCUGGAAAGGAAAACAGAAAGUUGCUUCCCAGCCCUGAAUCUCCAACUUUGCCUCGUGCCCAGAAUCACCAGGAGUGAUUUGCAAAGCAGCUAUCGUGCAGAGUGUGCUUUGGGAAACACUGAACUGGAGUAACGAUGACCUCCCCUGCAAGACCUAUGUAAGGAAGAAGAUAGGAGUUGGGAGUUUUCGUCCAGUCGUGCCGUGCUAUACUGGCAGGAUGGGCUUUGAUAAGACAGCAUCACAAAUUUUCCUGCUGAGCUUCAAUACAGCUUUGCAGAUGGUAUUAAGACACAAAGCAUCUGUGUCUCCUGGAGAAAAAGCAGCUUUUCUGGAAAUGUGACUACUGCUACUACACAAUCAAGAAACAAGAGUACAUUCACUACUGUAAGAAACUCACAAAAAAAGGAAGACAAUUUUGCCAGUUUGAACACAGAGGUUUGCAGAGGUACUGAUAAGUGACCCAGAAGCACAUAUUCAAGAAAAUUAUUAAAGAACAACCAGAGUAGGAAGGAAACAGAAAUCACCUCACCUUGUUUUAUAAAAGAAGAAAUAAGAUCCAGGGAUGUCUGUGCACCGCAUAG